CACACCCCUCUUGGGGGGGGGGGGGGGGGGGGGGGGGGGGGGGGGGGGGCUCACCUGGGUUACCAACGUGGUCUCCUGUAGGUCAGCCCUCUGCCAAGACGGCCAUUGAAUGUGCCAUUUUUAAAUGGAGCACUGAUCAAACCCUACAUCCAACCACCCCUCACACCUAUUCUCUGUGUGUGUGUGUGUGUGUGUGUGUGUGUGUGUGUGUGUGUGUGUGUGUGUGUGUGUGUGUGUGUGUGUGUGUGUGUGUGUGUGUGUGUGUGUGUGUGGACUAAUGUGUUGCAUGCCUUAACUGACUAAACUCAGACGCGCACAAGGAGCAUGGAGAAGAGUUAUUCUGAGACGCAUGUAGUCGCACAUGUUCACACAUGUUCGUCCCAGAGGACAGGCGUGUCUACAACAGCCGCCAUAUGUGGUCAUGUGUGUUCAGUGGGAACGGGGCAUGAGGUGUGUUCAGUGGGAACGGGGCAUGAGGUGCACUAGACCCACAGAAAGCUGAAAGCUUUCACCUGCUAGUUGAUGCACAGGGUAGGCCUCCAUGUUGUGACCGGAAGCACACGUGAACACACUCACCUCUGGUGCAGGGGCUGGGAUAAUGGGGUCUUCCAACGCGACUGAAAGGACAUCUGCUGGCAACCCUGCCGGGCAUUUAACGGGCUUCCACUCUUCCUCUGCGAACAACUCUUCCUCUGCGACCGACACUUCCUCUACGACCGACACUUCCUCUGCGACAUGAACUGCUUCUGCUGCCUUCACCACUUCAGGUUCUGCUGCUGCCGCCACCACUUCAGGUUCCGGAACCGGUUCUGGUUCAGCCUCGACUGGUUCUGGUACCACUUCUGGUUCCGACACCACUUCUGGUUCUGGCACCACUUCUGGUUCCGAUUCUUUGACUGCUUCUGGUUCCACGACUGCUUCUGGUUCCGCGACUGCUUCUGGUUCUUUGAGCAGUUCUUCCGGCUCUACUGGGGCGAGUUCUGGGAUUGUAGCGGGCUCUGGCUCUGGCUCAGGCGCAGGUGCUUCCACUGGGGAAACCUCUGAGACCUCUGGGACUUCUACUACAGGAGCCGCCUCAAUAGGAACCUCUGGGACAAGCUCUGGGACAAGCUCUGGGAGCGUAGGAGCGACGGUUGGGGGUUCAACUGGGGGGCAUGCAGACACCUCUGGAAUUUGGGGGACAAUAACUGGGGCGGGGGCUUUGGGCUGCUUUGGUUUGAAGGUAGCAACGGGGGGUUUGGGCGCCUUGACGGGUUUGGCAACAACGGGGACGGCGCCCGGGGCAGAGACUGCCCUGAGCGCAGGAGUUCCUUUAGCUGCGGCGGCAUACUGUUCCUCUAGUGCCCGCCUCUGCAACUGCUGCUCAGAGAAAGAGACACAGUAAGAGGCAGAGAGAGUGAGUGGUUAGCCUCCGUUGGGAACAUGUAGUUUUUUGCAGGGGAGGACAGUGAGGUCUGACUGUCUAAGCUGUGAGGAUAAGGGGCAGUGAGCCGUGUGUGUGUGUGUGUGUCUGUGUCUGUGUGUGUGUGUGUGUGUGUGUGUGUGUGUGUGUGUGUGUGUGUGUGUGUGUGUUCAGAGGCAGUGAGGUGUGCACCAGCAGUGCCCCAUGCUCCGGAUAAGUGUUCUGACAGGCUAAGCGCCAUAGAAUGCAGCUAUAAUCACAUUAUAAUCGCCCCAUAGUCUCAUUAAAGACUCAUUAUCAUCACAUUACAAUCAGCCAUCUCGCUCUACUGAACAUCACUGGGGCCGGGCAGCCAACAGCACACGGGGGCUUGUGCUGUUGACACUCUGUGUGUGUGUGUGUGUGUGUGUGUGUGUGUGUGUGUGUGUGUGUGUGUGUGUGUGUGUGUGUGUGUGCGUGUGUGUGUGUGUGUGUGCGUGUUAGAACUUAAGCCUGGCUGAUGAGAAAGCCAACAUCAGCAAAGAGCUGAGCCCUCCAUGACACACACACACACACACCUUCAUUAGUCAGUAUUAAUGGGUGAUGUUGCCAGGAGGGAGAGACGCCACAUGGGGGUGCUCAGCCCAAAAUAAGCGCUUUAAGCAUACUGGCCAGUUCAUCCUACAAGAGCACAGGGGUGGAAGUAUGAAAGGCAUUUCUCUGGAUAAGAUAUGAACGGAUCACACUGACACAGGGACACAUACACACAAGCAGGCUUCCCAUUUUGAGGUCUUAUAAAAUGAAGCUAAGUGUUAGUAAUAGCCCUCAUGCAUGCACAAACACUGAAAAGCCAUAUUUAGAAGGUGAAGGCAGACACACACACACACACACACACACACACACACACAGGAGACAUAACUCCACCGAUGUAAUUUGCUGAGACUGCCUGGUUCCAGAGGAAUGUGAACGCCCCCCGCUCAAUACACUCACACAUAGGGCAAGA
ensembl:lncRNA